GGGCGGAGGCCUGAGGCGGGAGGCCGGCGGGCGGGGACGACUCCCUGUUGCUUCCGCCUCCCGGGGCCCGCCCUGCGGCCGGGCCGCGGGGACCGUGCCCCUUGGGGAGCCUCGGACCCGCGGCCCGGCUCCUCACCCCACCCCCCACCCCCUACCCCCCACCCCCCGCACGCUCCCAAACUUCUGUCUCCCUCCCGAAGGCCCGAUGGCGGCGCGGGACCCGCCAGACGGGCCUGCGUCGCGCCCUGGUGCUGGGCCCGUCGCCACGCGUGGCCGCUCCUGGUUUGCAGGUGCCACACGGGGCCGAGUCGUGCCUCAGGUGGCUGCCCAGCUUCGCUCAGCUUUUGUGCGCUGGGGUGAAGGCAAAUCUACUCUGUCCUUCUGUCCUGCCCUGUGCCCAGGAGGCCAGUGGCUGUCUUCACUGGACCUUCACCAACAGGACAGCUUGCUUCGGGUUGAAGUCGGCUGAGAGCCUGGGUGUGCCCUCCUCCCCUCCCGCCUGGCCUCUACCAGGACCGUGUCUGUGUCCCUCUGUGAGGACAGGGCUUGUAGGCCUUCCUGUUCAGUUGUGACAACUGGUGUCAGGCUCCAAGAACGACUCCCUGCCUCUUUAGGCUGCGGUGCUGUCCCUGGACAGCAGCACCCCUGGCUGGGUCACAGAACUGUGACGGUGCCGCGGCAAAUGUCUCUCCCUCACACCCAGGCUCCUAAGUCUCUCAAGCCCCCUGCUUCCUGCCAGGACCUUGAUGGCUGAGCCAGAUUUUGACUAGCCUUCUGCCUUGCAAACAGUGACAUUUGGAUGGAGGGUGUGCGGGCACAAGCAGACAUCUUACAGGGCUGCUGGCAAAGGCUGCCCGUCUCUCAGGAGGGUCUGUUUUAGUCAACGGUGCAGACACAUGCCCUCUGUCCUGGCUGGUGGAAAGCCAUCCUGCUCCGGGGCCCUGUCCCUGCAUGCCGAGGGGCAAACCCCGGGUCCUAUCAGCCAUUCCUCCCGGUGACUGCUUUAAAACAAGUCAAAGCCAAUGAGUCCUGCUGUGGGGGAAGCGACUGCUCACUCUUAAAAAGGCACAUAAAGAGGAAGCCCUCCUCACAUCUGGCCGGGUCCCAUGUCUCGGACGGGGCCCCCCUCAUGUCUGGCCGGGUCCCACGUCCGGGACAGGAGGUCACUUGAGGAACUUCGUCACCGUGGGGAUGACAGCACGGGAAGAUGGGAGGAAGCAUGGGUCCCCGAUGACACCAUUGGGCCAUUAACCAAUCCUCCUGCAGCUGUGAGCAUCUUAAUUUAAAAUCUAUGGAAACAGAUCAGUUAGGACUCUAUAAAAGGAACAGAAAAUCCAAGUCCCCUGUGAACCAGUUACCUCUGUACGACAAAUCUCUACAAACUUGGGGGCUUUGACAAUAAGUGUUUAUUUCUCAGGACCCCGUGGUUUGGUGGGAUGGCUCCUUGGUGCUGACAGGGACUGUUCGUGCACCUGCAUUCUCUGGGGGACUCCGCUGGGCCUGGAAGGUUCUGGAAGGUUCAGGGGCUUCAGUCAUGUCCAGUGUCUCAGCCUGGGGGAUGAAAAGCUGGGAGCGGGCUUACCUCUGUUGCUCCACACGGUUUCUCAUCAGUCUAGCCUCUGCUUCCUUACGCGGCAGCUGGAAACCGAGAGGGCCAAAGUAGAAGUUAUACAGCCCCUGAAAGCCGGGACAUUGCUUCUGCCACAUUCUCUCAGGGAAAGUAGGUUCCAAAGCUGGCCCAGAUCCAAGGAGAGGAGUAGACUAGAUUUCACAUCUUGGUUGGAGGAGGGCCUGGCAGCAUGAGAGGAGAGAACUGUGUGUGGUCAUCUUGGAAAUCGUCUGCACAGACUGACUUAAAGAGUCGUGGGAAGUAUUGCCAGGAUCACGGCCAGUCCCUAGUGAAAUGGCAGCAGGAAUAUGUGUCUCUCUGUUCCCACUGGGCAGAGAGAAUCUUGGACUCUGACUGGGUCGGCUAAGUGCAUAUCCCUGGAUGGUAGAAUGCCGGUAGAUGGUCGGCAUAGGCCUGGAUUUAGUGCAGAUCCUUGACUGCUGACUGGCGAGCACCCGAGGAGAAUGGAGGGAUCUUACUCAUCGUCAGGUCAUGGGGACCCCCGCUGCCAACCCCCACAGCAUGGCUGCCUCACCACGGCAAGUGCUGUCUGGUGAGAGCGGGGACAAGGCAGGAGGCAAACUCCAGAACUGAAGUCAAACUGCGGGUUCGCCUCUGGAUGCUCACCCACACCUGUGCACAGACUCGCGAACACCUGCUGUGCGUCCCUCCCCUCCACCUUGGAGAUGCCUCGGAUGGUAACCAGGGGUCUUGGGUUCAUUGACUUCUAAGUGAGAAAAACUUUGGGGAAAUAAGAAUGGGGGGGGCGAAAAAGUGGAACCUUCCAGGAAAGAUGUUUCAGAACUGUUACCUUUCUCUCCAAUGACAAAGCUGAAGCCCAAAGUGACUACUGAAGACACGGGACAGGGAAGUAUGAGCUAUUGAUGUGUUCUGUUUUUGUAUGAGGAAGGACAGGCACCCUGCGUUGGGGGGUUCGGCCUCCUCGGUGAGCAGCCUUGCCCCUCCAAGCUGCUGGAACAUUCUGUACCCCUCUCUCAGGCCACUGUCCCUGCAGGGCCAGAUGGUGUGGGCUCUGUCUUCCCACGGAUUGGUCCUGGGAUUCCCCGGUGGCAAAAAGCCACAGGCUCCCUCUGGCCUCCCUCAUCCCUUUUGUCUGGAAUCUUCUGCGGCAACCCCACUUCGUCCCACAGACCUGCUCCUCCUUUGUAGUCACACCCUCAUCCCCUAUACCUUCCUCAGCUCCCUCUGUUACUAGUUUCUCUACUAGUACUUUUAAAGGCACCAACUCAGCAUAGCUUAGUUAUUUGUCAAAAAGCCCUGGUUGCCAAUUAGAAUCACCCAGGGAUAUAUACAUAUUUUUAACAGAGAUUCCUUGGGACCCCUCCCUCCCCCCAGUCCCGACUCUUUGAUUCUAUCGGUCUGGAGUGGGGUCCCAGCAUCAGUGUUUUUUAAAAGCUCCGAGACCUGGCAAGUUGGAGAUCCGCUGGUCUGAACGUCUUUCUGCCUGCGAUGCCCUCUAUUACUGGUCCUGUUGUCCUCCCCAGGGCAUAGCACGGUCCCUUGUACAUGAUAGGUGCUCAGUAAAAGUGAAAAAGUGAAUGUCCCUACACUGCUAUUUCAGCCACGAGCACUCAUGGAGCAGAAUAAAGGGAGGGUACGAGGUUCCAGCACAGGUAGAGAAAACACCUGUGCGCUUAGACCAGGCAGUACGCGAGGGGGUGCUGUGGAGAGCGAGGUCCUGGGUUCAACUGUGACUGAGGUCACCUCACUCCGCCAGACUCGCCAUCCCCUUCUCCAGGAAUGUGGUGAUGAUACAGGGUCCGGUGUCCCCACACCUGGGAGGAGCCAGUGAGGAAGUGACUCCUGAGAGUCGGUCAGUACACAGGUAUCCAAAAUGGAAUAAGUUACCUUCGUUAUCAUUCUUAAUCCAGAAUAUGUGACUAGUGUGAGUGCCAAUCGCAAAGAAUUAUCAAGAUUUCAUCUUCUGGGCAACGCUGGUGUGAGCUCUGCCGUGAAAACCAUCACCGAGUCCUGGGACUCCUGUGCUCACCAGGUCUGGCUGCGGGGUCCCCACGCUCGCCCAUCCUCAGACGCCACCCGCUCUCUGACUCCUGUCCUUGACAGGAAAAAAAAAAAGCUAAGUUCUGUGGAGCUUGAAAUUACCAAGAAAGUCAUGAAAAUAAUUUGUCGUCCUCAUUUAUUUGAACAGAAGCUUAAAGAUGCUGCUGACGACAGAAAUAAAAUCCAGGGCUUUGAGAUUGGAGCUGGACAAUAAUUCGGGUGGAGCGUCACUCAGAGCAGCUGCCCCGUCCAGGCGCUUUGCCGGCACAGGACAGCGUGUCACCGCGCCUUUAUUUGUGGGCGUGUUCCAGAAAACAGGGAAAGUGCUUUUUCUUGUCCCUCUCUCUCUGUAAAGAGAAAGAUGAAAUGGUUUUCCUUAAGGGGAUGCAUGGCCUUAUUCCCCAGCUUGCUGCAUCCAGGGAGGAGACCCUAAGGACCCCCAGCACAUUCCCUGGUGAGUCCAGGUUGCAGCAACUGGGAGCCCUGCCCUGCCUCACAGCCUGGGCGCCUGCCCCCUUACCACCAGUGUUGCCCCAGGCCCCUCCACUCGUGACCUCUGUACCAUCACACGACCUGGCCAACCAGUUGGGGCCUCCUCAGGUCCACCACAGUGGUCCUCGCGUGGGAGAAGGGCAAGCGUGUGCGUGUCUGAGAGGCUGACCCCCUGGCCAAGAGCCGCUGCCCGGAACAAAGCAGGACACCUCUGGCCAGCACUCCCAACAAGGUCAAGAUGUAUGUGUGUCCAGGGCUGUCUGCAGAGGGGAGAGUACUCACACCGGAACGGCGGUCACACCGUCUCUGCCUCAGACCCGAGUGUCCUGUGGGGAAAGUGCUGGGCUGGGUCCAAAACAGCGUGCACCUGGAACAGAAGAGGAAAGGCAAAGAUCGGUUGGUUUCCUUCUGUGUAACCUGGCGGACGUGCAUCAGGUAUAAAUGGAGACAGGCUACCAAUUUGGGACUGAAAUGAUCAAUUUCUGGCCUAACAGAGCAGGAAGCAGACUGUGUGGCUCUGUUGGUGUGACGUCUCUUAGGAAAAGGAAGUCCUUGAAGAAUCUGCAUCCAGAGAGGCUGUGAGGAUGGAUGUUUUCUUCCAUCUGCUUUGGAAGCCUUCAGAGAAUGACCCAGAACUCCAGGAUCCUGAGCAAACCCUUCCAAGGUCCUGCUGGCUGGACUAAGAAUCAAAUUGACAUGAGACGUUAACAGGAGAAAAUCAAAUUUAAUGGGCGUGUGCAUGAGGAAUGCACACAGACCUGGAAAUUCUGAAGACAGUAGGGCAAACUGAGGCGUGUGUGUCAUGGGGAACGUGAGGGUCUGGGGCCGACAUAGAAAGGAACCCACCUCGCAGGGUGGAAAGAGGACAGAUGCUCGGCAAUUAGACGUCUGUCCUGCCGUACAGAUGGCUCACCCGGAUAACAUUCAUCUCUGCUAAUAGUUCUUAUUCUGGGAAAGGCCCCCCGUUUAGAGUCUCCCGUGGAGUUAAGGGAGGCUCGGAAGUUUCUCCUGAGCCCACAGGGUCUCCGUUGCCCUCAGCUGGGAUCUCGGUGCCACAGCGGUCCUGGGGUCGGCCUGCCCUCAGCCCUGCACCCUGAGGCUGUCCGGGAGCCUGAGGUGAUGUCAGCCUUUAAGAUACCAGUAGAUUAUUUUCGCUCCCUCCCUGGUAAAAUUAGAAACUUAAUUAAAAUGUCAUCAAGUGAGGCCGCGAAUUCCACAUCCCGGAUCUGAAAUAUGCACAAUAGAACCUACCGCCUGCAUUAGCUUCCGCCCUUUAAAACACUUUUCUCAGCUGCUCCAGGGGGACGUUUGCCGGGUGGGGAAGGCAACGUCGCGGAGAAUGUCUUCCGUGCUGGUGACAAAGACACUCCUUCACCUGCUAGGUCCCACGUGAGUCUCGGUGGGAACGUCACCCACACCCCAUCCUUCACCGUCUCAGCAGAUCUGGGACCUGCUGUCGCGUCUGCGGGAUCGCCGGACUAGCUUCUGUGUCUCCCGUUUGGGCUCUGAUUCUCUGUCGUUCAGAAUUCCACCUAAAGUAAAAACGGAAAAAAAAAAAAAAAAAAAGAACUUCUUGCUGUGUUUAUCUUGAGGAUUUGGGAACUGUGCGAGGACAGACCAGGGCCAGAUGCAGCUGACCACUGGCCUGUAACAAGGGUGGCUCAGAACCUCCGAGGCUUCUCGAACCCCAGCGACCAGAGGUCCCUCAUCACAUGUGUGUCUUCUGUCUCUGCCCUGCCUCCCCUUCCCUUCCUUCACCCUCUCUUCCCACCCCUCCUCACCCGCCUGCCAUGGCUGCAAGCUGGGGAUGGCUGUGUGGACCUCAGCUCAUGGGGGAGAGAGGGGGGUUCCCUUGGCUCGUCCUGAUGGCCGCGGCAGGAGGAUCAAUACCGCCCAGAGUCCCUAAUGGCAGAGAAAGGGACUGCUAACAGCUCUGUGGCGUCUUGGUCUAACUGAGUCUCACGUGGCUGCCGAGGGUCUAUUUAUAAACCUUAUUGUUUGUUAUAUUACAAUCAUGGAGUCGUUUUACUUUUGUGAAUUUUACAAUAAAGAAUUUGAUCCUAUCACCCAA